rnacentral:lncRNA from 1 species
UUGGAAACACCAGAAAAUUCAACAAAAAACCCUAAACCACAAAACACCCUAAAAUCUAUCUCUAACCAAAGGCAGCCACCGGAGCCCUCCACCCUUUGGAUUUUUUAUUUUUUUUCUUCUCCCUUCCCCCGUUUCAUUUUUUUCGACCCAAACCAGGCCAGAUUUCCUCCUCCUUAACCCAGCCACGGUCAUCAACACACUGCCUGCAUUUACCAGCUCCCCCGAAACCGGCCGGCCAGACAAUCUCUUCCUCACUGCAAAUUCUCAGCCCCCCUGACUUCGGUUUACCCCACUGUCACUAACCAAUUAAACCCACAACCAUCGGCCUCCCCCUUUCCAUUUUUUUUUUCACAGAGAACCAGCCACAACCUCUCUUCUUCUCCAACACACCGUCUCUCCCCCUUCGUCAUUUUCCGUUCUUCUAGCCAGCUAAGAGCUGAGCUCCCUCAGUCAAAACAGAGUCGUUCUCUCAUCUCCACCAAGCCACCGAUCUGCCACCCGAAGCAGAGGAGAAGAAGACGAAGCCCAGCGCCCACCGCGGCGCAACCAGCAGCUCCGGCCACAGAGCCUCCACCAGCAGCCCUUCGGUCACACCGCCGAGUGCUUGAAACAGAAGGGUGGGCAAGCAAAAGACCAGAAUAGAUCGGCGAAGAAGGAAGCCAGACCCGAACCGAUGAAGAAGACCCAAAAACAUAUCUGAAAAAACUAAAAAAAAACUUAAAAUCGACUGCCCUUGUUGUGUUGUUGUUUGUUUUGCAGGUGACGGGCAGCAGUAGAUUGAAGAGGGGAGGAAGCCAUUGCAGCCCCCUCACGCCGCCUGAUUUCUGGGCAGCGCGUGAACCCACGCGCCGCCAGUGACGGUGGCGCGUGGGAAGACGCGCCGCCACUGAUUUCUGCCCCAGCAACCUUCCCGUCACUGUUCCCGAGCACUGUUCCUGCGGAUUCCAUAAAAAUUAGGAUGUUUUAGGGGGUAUUUUGUAAUUUUAAAUGGUUUGAUGUAAAUUUUUUAGUAUUGAAUUUUUAUUGGUAUUUUGUAAAUAUGGAUGUAAAAGAAAAGAAAAGAAAAAGAAAAGAAAAGAAAUAAAAAAAAAUAGUGAAAGUGUAUGUGUGGGUUUGAAUUUGUUAUUUUAUUUAUUUAUUUAUUUAUUUUUUAGGAUAAAAUUGCAAAUCUAUUAAAGAAGAAUUUAAUAUUUUGAUCGGAUCACGGUUAAGAAUUAUUAACUUAUACGUAAGUGAUAUUUCUAAUUUCCGACGAAAAGACAAUUAUUAAAACUUCUUUAACACAUCAAAGUCGCGAAGCAGCUUACCUCAGGUAGGGUGCGUUAGGGGUGCUAAUACCUUCCCUAACCACAACCAGUUCCUUACCUGCGAAUCUCUAACAAGACCAGUACAUCCGGUUUCCUAGUAGCCCGAAAUCAAUUACUAGGUGGCGACUCCAACGAACCAAAUUCAAACAUUACGCAACGAGACGAAAAAUCGCCAGCCGAUGCCGCGCGCUGAUUUUUUUUUUAUGGUGCGACAGAAUGGCGACUCCGCUGGGGUAGGUAUUUUUUCGAUUAUUGGACUAAGCUUUGUGUAUUUGAUGUAUUUAAGUUUUUGCAUUUUUAUCUUUUUGGUUAAUAUUUAUUUCCAUGCAUUUUAUAGAAUUGUCUCAUGCAUCACUUUGUAUUUGUUUUUAAAAGCACACACAAGCUUCUAGGUUAGGUGGGGAAUUAGCGAUCUGCCCUAAGACUAUUGGUCAGGGUUCAGAUGCGUGAAACACCCAACUCAUAUCUGAGUGCCUGCUUGGUAAUGGUGGGUAUACGUACCUUAACCAUUCCUUGCAACGCCCCCAAACUGUCUUUACGAAGAACGUCACUGGGCAGAUAUGAGACCCUUUUGAGACCAGAUAGAAAACUUACCCAUGUUCACAUAAUGAAUAGAACUGUCCUUAGGUUGUAUGUGCUAUCGUUUUUUGCAUAAGGGCAAACCCUUCUUGAAGCAUCUUGAACUCAAGACUUGUGGGUGACACAUUGGCCGUUGCUCCGAAAAUUUUCAUUGUAGAGUUUGGGCAAAAAUCACGAUUCUUGUCCAUCAUACAAGAGUUACGACCAUAUUGUCACCUCUCGAAGGGAGAGUUCAUCAUAUAGAUUACAUGUUCAUACAUUUAUCAUGCAUGAACCGGGUCGAAACGUAGGUCCCUUGUACAAGUUGUGCUGCACGAGAUUGAAGAAAAAUAAUGGAAGUGAACAAAGGAGUCAGAUAUAGGUUCAGUAUCAGAUUAAGGUUGAGAGCAUCAAGAGUGAAGUAGCGGGACUCAGAUCUGCUCGAACAAGUGUUGAGCAUCAAAUGAAAAGAGAAUGUCUGCACAGUUUUCUGUGGGAACACUGCUUGUUCACGUCCAAUUGAAGCUGUACCUUUCCUUUUCAGUCAUGAACAAAGCAACAACGCCUUCAGUCAUCAACUAAUGACAACUCUGAUUCCUGUCCAGUUGCGCUGUUAAGUAUUCAUCGCCUCCACAUCAUCUAAUGGAACCAAACGACUACUAACCUCCUGUUCAUGGUGCAUUAGUCUGCUUUGAAGUUACCCCAAUUAUGAGCUCAAUUCCAGUUCAGCAGCACAAGAUGUUGGUCUGAAAAAAAAAAAACAUGAUCAGACACUGAAUUUCAACGCGGUAGAGCUCUCUCUGUAGAGAUUUAUUUGUGGAUCUGUCAAUGGCAAAUGCAAAAGGGAAUGUAUUAAUUUCAUAUGCUUUGAAACUAUUUCCCACCAGUGGCACCAGCAAAACAUUGUAGUAGGCAGAAGAGUCAGACCUGGUCUGAUAAUAUUAGCAGUUGUCAAACUUCAAUGUGGCAGAGUUCUCUCUACAAAAAAUCCAUUUAUGGCUCUGCAAAUUGGGAAUUCAAGAGGGGAUUUACUAAUUGCAUAUGCUACAAAUAUUUCUCUCAUCAGUUUCAGCACGAAGAAACUAUAGCAGGUUGAAGAGCCAGACUUGCCUUGAAAAAUAUGAGCAGACAUCAAACUUCAACGUAGCAGAGCUCUCCCGACAGGAAUCUGUUUGUGGAUCCGCAAGUGGAAAUCCAAGAAGGAAUACAGUAGUUUCAGAUCAUUUAUGAUUUUUCCAACAGUGUCAGUAUUAAAAUGCAAAAGUAGAGAGAAGAUACAUGCCUAGACUGAAAAACAUGAAGAAUACUGAAACUUCAACAGAGCAGGACUUCCUCUAUAGGUGUUUGUUUGCUGCACUGUCAGUGAGAAAUUGAAGAGGGGACAAAGGAGUUUUAGAUUCAUCAGGUGCUCUUCCAAUAAAGACAAUGUGUGAUUCCACACGUCGGUAGUGGCGAUACUACAAGUUUCUGGCGCUGCCAAGAUUACCAAGCUGUUAGAAAGUUUUCUAACAAUCCUCAACCAACCAUAGCAACAUUGGAAGAUUGAAAUAAUGUUGUGAGGAUUUGCCGAAGAAUUGAACAAGCUAUGAAGAGAAGAAAGAUUGAAGGAUCUGCCAUGGAUUCUAGAACAAUGAUGAGAGGUGAAUCAGGAGAUGACUUUGACGGUGUGAACCCUUAAUUAUGUGGUAUAGCCAGGUCUCACGGCAUCAUCAAUUGCUCAAAUAUCUUUGCCAAGAUGGGACAUUCCUCUGCCGUUUAAGUUUGUCGACCAGCAUCUGCCAGAUUCCAGAAUUUUGCUUGACUCCGACAAAUCCCAUGCAACCACCAAUUUCUAGUGGUAUAAUCCAGAUAAGAGAUGUGAUGUCAUGGUGGGGUCCUCAACCAUUUCAAGUGAACAGUUUCAAGAAUUGCAAGAAUGGAGUCUGAAAGUUGGUGAGCAAGAGACAGGUGGAGUCGUUGAAGAAGGGUGUCACUGGCUAUAUUGUUCCCCGAACAUCUUCAGAAUGACAUGUGAUCGAAAAUGCUUGGCAAAACACAGAUAUUGCCAGAAAAGCUGAUUCGAGAAUGGUGAUGAACAGUCAAUCAUAUUGUUAUGGAAUUCUGCAUUUUGUUUUGGGAUCACAUCUCAUCCUUCAACGAAACAUGCCUUGCUUUUGUCUCUUUGUUGUUUUGAAAUCAACAGAUGUUUAGCAUUUUAUUCUGACAAAAUAUUUUGAUCAAACUCCAACAUGCGAUAAAGGUUAAUCAAUCCGGAAGAUUAGAAGUGUUUUGAUUACAGAAAUGACUCUAUGCUUGAAAAUGACAUGAGGUGACCAAACAAUUUUGAACUCAUACCUCCUGAAACUGAACCACACAUCAUAUAGCUAAGUUUUAGCAGUAUGCAUAAUGACAUGUAGUGGAUUCGGUAGUUAUGGACUCGUGAAUCAUGAUUCUUACAAGUCCCAAUCAUUACACUGGAUGAGGUCAAAAUUUAUCGGUUCUAACCGACCUUGCUUGAAAUGAGAAAAGGCCAUCUUUGAUAUCCCUUCACUUUCUAAAGAUUAUAUCCCUUGCAGUCCCAUUUUGAGCCUAGUAAAAUAUUUUCUUUCAAAAAAAAGAAACCCUGACUAGGAUCACACCCCACACUGGGGGCAAAUGAGAGAUAUUUUGGAGACAUUGAUAUAAUUAAUGGAUAAAGGGGAAGGCUUAGAACAAAGGUGCAAUGAUUGAGAGAGAGCUAAAAGAAAACACAUAGACUGGGGGCAUAUAAGAAAAUUUUGAGGAAGGCUAUGAAAAAAAAAAAAGAGAAUGAAAAAAGGAAGGAGAACGCCUAUCAAGUCUAUGAAGAGCAAAAGAAAUUUCAAUCAAGGAAAGGCACAACAAAAGUCAAUACCAGAAAAAAGACUAAGAUAUAAGCGUUGACUUUUGGUAUCCGUUAUAAAACCUAUGAUGUUAUCAGAUGAUUAAGGUUGGUUAUUCUCAAAGAAAGUUGGAUUUGCAUUAUGACUUAUGUUAAGAAAAGUCGAACUUUGAGGUUAACAAGGUUAUAUGUCGUUUCCUCUAUAAAGACAACAAUAGAAAACAAGUUGAUGAAUAGUUGAUGUUGAUCCUAGGUCUUUGAAACCCUCAAACACCUUUUGAGCCUGUGAAAUUCCUUUCUUUCAUAGCCAUGAACCAUAGCCUGCAUUACGUGCUUUUUAAAAGCCCUUUUUAAUCAAGCAAGCAACUUGAACCGAUAAAUGGCGCUCUCAAAACUUGAAGAGUUUUUCCAUAAGAGUCGUGACUUCAUGAAUUAAGUUACCGGUCGUUAUGCAUGUUGAUAAAAUUAUUGCUAAAAACAAAACAUUUUCCUUCAUGAAUCCUCAAGUUUUGACUUGAGCCUGUUGUUUUUUGAAAUUCACAGAAGGUCACCUCACCAUAAACUAUCAAAUGAUAUACCCAAUAUCAAGGAUUCAAAUUGAUACAAAGAACCAUGGAAAAAGCCAUUUUUAAUCCUACAUUGGGUCAAUUUCUGUUUUCAAAAUGCAUGACAAUCAAAGGACUAUAUAUUUCGAAUAAAAUGUGUUGGGCCUUUGAUCAAAAAGCUUGAUUUUCAAAAGAUUUUCAAAAAAGACAUCUCUGAUUUUAUUUCAACAAACUAGACUUUGAAUAGACAUGAUCUUUGAAAUAUGAGAGUUGAUUCCAGAACAAGGAAGAUUAUCAAACACAGAAGAACAUUGAUUGAGUAUGCAAAAUCGUUGAUAGAAAUGACAUUGAAGUCCUCGACACUCCUUGAAAAGUUGAGCAGCUGGGGGCAAUACAGUAGACCUUGAAAAGGAAAAACAAGCAGUGCUCAGAUCAGCUAUGAGGCAAUGUUUAAAUGAUGAAUCAGUGAACUGAAGACAAUGAUGUUCAAAGACAGAUAAUCAAUGAACGAGCACACUCGAUCAUACUGGGGGCAAUGUCAUUCCAAAAUGGCCCAUGCUUUAGUGAAUCCUGUCGGCAAUGGAGAAACAAAAACGUACCUGAAGGGCACUUCCUAUCAUCAUUUUUUGAAACAUGGCUCGCGAUCGAUGAGGAAUACACAGAUGAAUGUAAUUGAAUGGAGAAAAGAUGCAUACCACCAAGACUGACUGUGGAACAAUGCUGCACUUAAAGGACAAUCUCAUAUUGUCAUUCUUUGAAAUAUGGUUAUAGACAGAUGUUAUCACACAACUGCACUGAAUGAAUGUCGGAAAGGCACCCACCUCGAAGACUGAUUGUGGGACAUCUAUUCUGAAGCUCAAAUGCGCACUUCACCGCAUGAAUAUGGGUGAUAACAUGAACAUCAUUGAUGAUGCCAAAGCAGGUAUUUUCACGAUCUGAUUUGACAAGCUAAGAGGAAUCCAUAGAGAAAUACAUCGCGCUUACAAUGAUGAGUUGUUUACUGCAAAGCAUGAGAUACAUGUCUGGAUGACUUGGCAGUUCCAUGAAGGCUGGUGACCAUACAUACUUGAAUGGUGUUUCAACCGAAGGCAAGUUCAUGACUGAUUAACAAACGUGAUGGGUGUUGGCAUGAUGCACACAAUCAAUCAGAGGAUAAUUCUCAGAAGAAGCCAGGAGAGAAAAUCUUUCAUGAUGAAUCAAGCAGUACUACACUUGGGGGCAGGGUCAAGCUUCAUGAACGAUGCAAGCAGUAAUUGUCGAAGACAGCCCGGGAUGGGCACUGCAUUUACAGCUGAGUGGAUGGCUAACACAUGAAUGAGCCAAUGCAUCGGAAGAACAAAGAAAGCUUUGGGAUACAAACAAGGGCACCCUAUGACGAUGGAGCAUCAAAGAGGGGGGACCUAUAUUUCAAAUCAGGUAAGGAUGCAUGCAUAUCAUCUAACCUCAAAAAAAAAAAAAAAAAAAACCAUUUGCACAUAUUUUCAAUUAUCACAGGAAAAUCCCAAAGAAAUGAAGAGAUCAACAUUGCAACGGGAAGCCUCGAGUUUUCAACCCUUGCAGUCAGGAAACACCGAGUUUUCAAACCCCAUGAUCAGGAAUUAGCAGGAAGCACCGAGUUUUCCAGCCCUUUCUUCUGUCAUCCCUUCAGAACUUCGCCAGGUAAGUCCUAUUUUUCACACCGCACUUCAUCAUAUUUUUUCCAUCUAGGUAGGUCACCCAUUACAAUGAGACCACACUUCAUAUUUUUUCCACGUGGGUAGGUCACCCAUUACAAUGAGACCGCACUUCACAUUUUUUCCAUCUGGGUUCGUCACCCAUACAAUGAGACCAUCAUAUUUCUAGGGUUCGUCACCCGUACAAUGAGACCAGCAUUUUUCUAGGGUUCGUCACCCGUACAAUGAGACCAGAAUUUUUCUAGGGUUCGUCACCCGUACAAUGAGACCAGCACUAGGGUUCGUCACCCGUACAAUGAGACCAGCAGCACUAGGGUUCGUCACCCGUACAAUGAGACCAGCAUUUUUCGAGGGUUAGUCACCCGUACAAUGAGACCAGAAGGAGGUCGCCGGAUGGGAUCUCAUGUAGCUUUGGUUAAAGGGAAUCGCCAGAUGGGAUUUCAGGUUAACCGAGUUACACAUAUUUCGUUCCAGUCGAAUGAGGUCGCCAGAUGGGAUCUCAUGUAGCUUUGGUUAAAGGGAAUCGCCAGAUGGGAUUUCAGGUUAAUCGAGUUACACAUAUUUCGUUCCAGAAUGAGGUCGCCAGAUGGGAUCUCAUGUAGCUUUGGUUAAAGGGAAUCGCCAGAUGGGAUUUCAGGUUAACCGAGUUACACAUAUUUCGUUCCAGUUGAAUGAGGUCGCCAGAUGGGAUCUCAGGUAAACCCAAUGUGUGGGCAGGUCGCCCGUGAAAAUAGACUAUUUGGAGAGUGUGGGUCGGUCGCCCGUGAAAAUAGACUUGAGUGAGUAUGUGUGGGCAGGUCGCCCGUGAAAAUAGACUUGAGUGAGUAUGUGUGGGCAGGUCGCCCGUGAAAAAAAGAUUUAAGUGAGUACGUGUCGGUAGGUCGCCCGUGAAAAUAGACCAGAGUGAGUAUGCGUGGGCAGGUCGCCCGUGAAAACAGAUCAGUGUGAGUGUGUGGGCAGGUCGCCCAAGAUAAUGAAAUCAUUUUCCUUUUGUUUUCUUUACAAAGCUUACUAUGCAAAAUUUUGAAGAGUUUUGCUUCGUAAGCAUUGUAAAGAGGGGGCAUCUGUUGCUACCCAAUUUUUGACCCAUGUUUUGAUAUAUUUUCAAAAAAAUCCAAAAAAUUGAGAAAAGCAAAGAAAAUCCAAAAAUAUGUUUUUUAAUAUAUUUUCGUCAUUUUAGCAUUUUCAACGUCGUCUAAAAAAAGAAUUUAAAUGGUUAAAAGAUUUUCAAAUGCGUUCGACGUUUCACGCGUCAUUUUUAAAUCAUUGAUUUUCCGCAUUUAAGUCGACGUUGAUAUUGCUCGUUUUCAAAAAAUACAAAAAAAUAAGAAAAAUCAAAAUUUACAAAAAAGAAAGAAGUUGAGGGAUCAAGUUGAAAAACCUAGCAACAUUUUGCCUAUAAAUACUGGUUUCCUCAACACAUUCAAGAGGGGGGGGCUAAUUUUGGAAACACCAGAAAAUUCAACAAAAAACCCUAAACCACAAAACACCCUAAAAUCUAUCUCUAACCAAAGGCAGCCACCGGAGCCCUCCACCCUUUGGAUUUUUUAUUUUUUUCUUCUCCCUUCCCCCGGUUUCAUUUUUUUCGACCCAAACCAGGCCGGAUUUCCUCCUCCUUAACCCAGCCACCGGUCAUCAACACACUGCCUGCAUUUACCAGCUCCCCCGAAACCGGCCGGCCAGACAAUCUCUUCCUCACUGCAAAUUCUCAGCCCCCCUGACUUCGGUUUACCCCACUGUCACUAACCAAUUAAACCCACAACCAUCGGCCUCCCCCUUUCCAUUUUUUUUUUUUCACAGAGAACCAGCCACAACCUCUCUUCUUCUCCAACACACCGCCUCUCCCCCUUCGUCAUUUUCCCUUUUUCUAGCCAGCUAAGAGCUGAGCUCCCUCAGUCAAAACAGAGCCGUUCUCUCAUCUCCACCAAGCCACCGAUCUGCCACCCGAAGCAGAGGAGAAGAAGACGAAGCCCAGCGCCCACCGCGGCGCAACCAGCAGCUCCGGCCACAGAGCCUCCACCAGCAGCCCUUCGGUCACACCGCCGAGUGCUUGAAACAGAAGGGUGGGCAAGCAAAAGACCAGAACAGAUCGGCGAAGAAGGAAGCCAGACCCGAACCGAUGAAGAAGACCCAAAAACAGAUCUGAAAAACUAAAAAAAAACUUAAAAUCGACUGCCCUUGUUGUGUUGUUGUUUGUUUUGCAGGUGACGGGCAGCAGUAGAUUGAAGAGGGGAGGAAGCCAUUGCAGCCCCCUCACGC